rnacentral:rRNA from 1 species
AUACGGAGGAUGCGAGCGUUAUCCGGAUUUAUUGGGUUUAAAGGGUGCGUAGGCUGUGCGUUAAGUCAGGGGUGAAAUGCCGUCGCUCAACGACGGAGCUGCCCUUGAUACUGGCGUGCUGGAGUACGGAUGCCGUUGGAGGAAUGAGUGGUGUAGCGGUGAAAUGCCUAGAUAUCACUCAGAACACCGAUUGCGAAGGCAUCGAGCGAAUCCGUCACGGAGGCGGGGGCACGAAAGCGUGGGGAUAGAACAGGAUUAGAUACCCUGGUAUUCCACGCCGUAAACGAUGAUGACUAACCGUCGGCGAUAGACAGCCGGUGGCCAAGCGAAAGCGAUAAGUCAUCCACCUGGGGAGUACGUCGGCAACGAUGAAACUCAAAUGAAUUGACGGGG